UCUGUUUGAUCCCGGCAGAGGUCACUGCUAUCGGUGUCCGAUUAAGCCAUGCGAGUCGUGAGGGGUUAUGCCCUCGGCGGACUGCUCAGUAACACGUGGAUAACCUGCCCAAAGGUCUGGGAUAACCCCGGGAAACUGGGGAUAAUACCGGAUGGAUCACUACUGCUGGAAUGCUUGGUGGUCGAAAGGUAACGCCUUUGGAUGGGUCUGCGGCGGAUUAGGUUGACGCCGGUGUAACGUACCGGCGUGCCUGUAAUCCGUACGGGUUGUGGGAGCAAGAGCCCGGAGAUGGAUUCUGAGACACGAAUCCAGGCCCUACGGGGCCGCAGCAGGCGCGAAAACUCUACAAUGCAGGCAACUGCGAUAGGGGGACAUCGAGUGGCAUCCACCUUGGGUGCCUGUCCAACCGUCUAAAAAACGGUUGUUAGCAAGGGCCGGGUAAGACCGGUGCCAGUCGCCGCGGUAAUACCGGCGGCUCGAGUGGUGGCCGAUAUUAUUGAGUCUAAAGGGUCCGUAGCCGGCUUUGCAAGUCCUCUGGGAAAUCCAGCGGCUUAACCGUUGGGCUUUCAUGGGAUACUACAUUGCUUGGGACUGGGAGAGGUAGGAGGUACUCGGGGGGUAGGGGUGAAAUCCUGUAAUCCUCCGGGGACCACCGGUGGCGAAGGCGUCCUACCAGAACAGGUCCGACGGUGAGGGACGAAAGCUAGGGGCACGAACCGGAUUAGAUACCCGGGUAGUCCUAGCCGUAAACGAUGCCCGCUAGGUGUCACGACGGUCGUGAAUCGUCGUGGUGCCGUAGGGAAGCCGCGAAGCGGGCCACUUGGGAAGUACGACCGCAAGGUUGAAACUUAAAGGAAUUGGCGGGGGAGCACCACAACGGGUGGAGCCUGCGGUUUAAUUGGAUUCAACGCCGGGAAGCUUACCGGGAUCGACAGUUGUAUGAAGGCCAGGCUGAAGACCUUGCCGGACUAGCUGAGAGGAGGUGCAUGGCCGUCGUCAGUUCGUACCGUGAGGCGUCCUGUUAAGUCAGGCAACGAGCGAGACCCA
rnacentral:rRNA from 1 species